GGAAAGUGGAUUUUUGGCUUCUUGAUACAAUUCCUUUGAUAAGAGAAUACCCAAGAACAGAUGGAGAUCUUUGCUAGGCUAAAUAGCACUUUCCUCUGAGCCUGGAUCUAGAUUGGGUUGUUCUCCAGCAAUUAUAGUAACGGCAGGAUACUAGGCUUUGACUUUCUUUGGGAUGUACAUAAGUGGGCUAAUCCAUCGAACUUGACCACUUUUAACACCUGUGGAUAGGUUCUGUUUCUAAGCUCAGACAUGAGACGUACAGAGAUAAAAACUAUAUCUGAGUUGGAAGGAUAAGAGUCCUCCUUGUAGACAGUGCCACUUUAUUGGGUUAGUCUUUCUUUCUAUCUUGAAUUCAUGACUGACCCAGACCUUGUAGAUUAUUCUCUCUCUCUCUCUUGUCUGUGUGUGUGUGUGUGUGUGUGUGUGUUCAUGUGUGCACACACACAAAGAGACCCUAGGUAGCAAGCAGACUUUAUGCCUUUCUGCUUUGUACCGUACUAUUGCUGCUAGCUAAAAACCAGCAAAAUGUAGAAAGUGAAAACUGAAGAAACUACUUUGCAGUGGAUAAUUUUAAGAAAAAAAAAAGAUGCUUGCUCCUCAUUUAGGGGAGCAGAGAACUAUUCCAAUAGCAUGCCUUUUCUGAAGGCCACGUGCUUCGAGUUCCGUGCUGCCUCAGUAGCGGGAUUGAGUUGUGAUGGCGCACGUGGCACUGCCACCUCUGCCUGUGGAGCUGCCCUGGGUUCAGAUAAUCCCCUGUGAGUAGCCACAGAAGCCUCAGAACUCCUAUGGCUGGGUCACUGCACCCCUGUCAACAAGUUGUGUCCUGUUGAUAGACUGCGACCCCCUGGAGCCUGCAUUCCCUGUGCCAACUCCAUUUUCAGCAUGUGAAUUUUAGCCAUAGAUUCAUCCCUGAGUUCCCAGCUUGUGGACUGUGUGUCCGUUUCAACUCCUCAAGGUAGAAAUGGGCAGGCUGCAAGCCCAUUCUUGGGUCUAGGGAAUGAGGUUUAGAUUCUGGAUAGAAGACAGCUCUGAAAAGCAUAUGCUUGGCUUUCUGGCAUUUCUAAUGUUCAGCGGGCAGGAAUGCAAAGGAGCCAUGCACAGUGUACACAUUCAAUUCCUUUUAGAACGAUAGGUCCCAUUCAGUCUACUGCUUUACUACUUAAUAGUCUGGAUUGUGCACAUCCAGUGAUGAAAUGAAGAACUUUUCACUUACAAGUGGGUGUUUCCAAACAUGUUAAAAUAACCUCCAGAGAGAAGUGCCUGGAACCACUGUUCCUGGUGUCACUUUAAAGCUUUUUGCUUCAUGACUCUAGCAUUUAAAACCUGUUUGCAGCCACAAAUGUGAUUAACAGAAGUUUACAAAGCAACACUGUACCUUAUGCAUUAUCUUAAAAUCUGUGGACAUUCAUCUAUUGUUCAAGCAAUGAUGACAACCAGUGAGAUAAAAAGAGAGUAGAUAGUUCAGCAUGGCACCAUUGGCUGUUGUUAGACUAGUUUCAUUGGUGUAUGCUGUCCUUUGUAAUGUCAGGACUAAAAUAUCUAGCAAGCCACAUAAACGGUGGCAAGUGUGUAUAUUGUUUGGUUUCCAUUUGUUUGUUAAACAGCCAUUUUACUUUUCCAUGGUCAUGAGUUGAAGGGAAAUUAAGAUAACGCUCCCUCCCCACCAACACUAUUCAACUACCUCUCUAUGCCUGAUUUCUUUAAAAGGGUUCCCUUCUUCUAAAUCUGCACAAAAAUAGUUCCAGCUCAUCUACGUUGUAAUCGCGAUGUGAUAUAGAUGGUCUCUGUGAAAAAAAAAUUGUUCAUUAAACAGAAAUUUCCUGUU
rnacentral:lncRNA from 1 species